CAAAGGAUAGUUUAAUAAAAUAUUAAUUUUGGAGAUUAAAGAUAAAGGUAACUUUUCCUUUGA
rnacentral:tRNA from 1 species